rnacentral:rRNA from 1 species
AGUGACGACUCUAUAGAUAGAGGGUUCCCUUCGGGGACAAUGGAUACGGGUGGUGCGUGGUUGUCCUCAUCUCGUGUCGUGAGAUGUUGUUUUAACUCCCGCAACGAGCGCAACCCCUGUCGUUAGUUGCCAGCAUUAAGAUGGGGACUCUAACAAAACUGCCAGUGACAAACUGGAGGAAGGUGGGGAUGACGUCAAAUCAUCAUGCCCCUUAUGACCUGGGCUACACACGUGCUACAAUGGUUGGUACAAAGAGAACCAAAGCGGUGACGUGAAGCAAACCUCAUAAAGCCAAUCUCAUUUCGGAUUGUAGGCUGCAACUCGCCUACAUGAAGUUGGAAUCGCUAGUAAUCGCGAAUCAAAAUGUCCCGGUGAAUACUUUCCCGGGUCUUGAAACACCCGGA